rnacentral:rRNA from 1 species
CCUACGGGAGGCAGCAGUGAGGAAUAUUGGUCAAUGGACGAGAGUCUGAACCAGCCAAGUAGCGUGAAGGAUGACUGCCCUAUGGGUUGUAAACUUCUUUUAUAAAGGAAUAAAACGAGGCACGUGUGCCUUUUUGCAUGUACUUUAUGAAUAAGGAUCGGCUAACUCCGUGCCAGCAGCCGCGGUAAUACGGAGGAUCCGAGCGUUAUCCGGAUUUAUUGGGUUUAAAGGGAGCGUAGAUGGGUUGUUAAGUCAGUUGUGAAAGUUUGCGGCUCAACCGUAAAAUUGCAAUUGAUACUGGUAGUCUUGAGUACAGUUGAGGUAGGCGGAAUUCGGGGUGUAGCGGUGAAAUGCUUAGAUAUCACGAAGAACCCCGAUUGCGAAGGCAGCUUACUAACCUGUGACUGACAUUGAUGCUCGAAAGUGUGGGUAUCAAACAGGAUUAGAUACCCCAGUAGUC